rnacentral:rRNA from 1 species
UCUUCCCUCUUCCCUCGUGCCUAAUACAUGCAAGUCGAGCGAAAAGACGAGGAGCUUGCUCCUCUGACGUUAGCGGCGGACGGGUGAGUAACACGUGGAUAACCUACCUAUAAGAAUGGGAUAAUUUUGGGAAACCGGAUCUAAUACCGGAAAAUAUAUUGAACCGCAUGGUUCAAUAGUGAAAGACGGUUUUGCUGUCACUUAUCGAUGGAUCCGCGCCGCAUGAGACAGUUGGUAGGGUAAGGGCUUACCCAGGCGACGAUGCGUAGCCGACCUGAGAGGUGGAUCGGCGACACUGGAGCUGAGACGCGGACCAGACUCCUACGGGAGGCAGCAGUAGGGAAUCUUCCGCAAGGGGCGAAAGCCUGACGGAGCGACGCCGGGGGAGUGAUGAAGGUCUGCGUGUCGUAAAUCUCUUUUAUCAGGGAAGAACAAAUGUGUAAGUAACUAUGCACGUCUGAACGGUACCUAAUCAGAAAGCCACGGCGAACUACGU